GUUAGCGGCGGACGGGUGAGUAACACGUGGAUAACCUACCUAUAAGACUGGGAUAACUUCGGGAAACCGGAGCUAAUACCGGAUAAUAUUUUGAACCGCAUGGUUCAAAAGUGAAAGACGGUCUUGCUGUCACUUAUAGAUGGAUCCGCGCUGCAUUAGCUAGUUGGUAAGGUAACGGCUUACCAAGGCAACGAUGCAUAGCCGACCUGAGAGGGUGAUCGGCCACACUGGAACUGAGACACGGUCCAGACUCCUACGGGAGGCAGCAGUAGGGAAUCUUCCGCAAUGGGCGAAAGCCUGACGGAGCAACGCCGCGUGAGUGAUGAAGGUCUUCGGAUCGUAAAACUCUGUUAUUAGGGAAGAACAUAUGUGUAAGUAACUGUGCACAUCUUGACGGUACCUAAUCAGAAAGCCACGGCUAACUACGUGCCAGCAGCCGCGGUAAUACGUAGGUGGCAAGCGUUAUCCGGAAUUAUUGGGCGUAAAGCGCGCGUAGGCGGUUUUUUAAGUCUGAUGUGAAAGCCCACGGCUCAACCGUGGAGGGUCAUUGGAAACUGGAAAACUUGAGUGCAGAAGAGGAAAGUGGAAUUCCAUGUGUAGCGGUGAAAUGCGCAGAGAUAUGGAGGAACACCAGUGGCGAAGGCGACUUUCUGGUCUGUAACUGACGCUGAUGUGCGAAAGCGUGGGGAUCAAACAGGAUUAGAUANCCUGGUAGUCCACGCCGUAAACGAUGAGUGCUAAGUGUUAGGGGGUUUCCGCCCCUUAG
rnacentral:rRNA from 1 species